rnacentral:rRNA from 1 species
UACGUAGGGUGCGAGCGUUAAUCGGAAUUACUGGGCGUAAAGCGUGCGCAGGCGGUUUUGCAAGCCGGAUGUGAAAUCCCCGGGCUUAACCUGGGAAUGGCAUUUGGGACUGCAAGGCUGGAGUGCGGCAGAGGAGACUGGAAUUCCUGGUGUAGCAGUGAAAUGCGUAGAUAUCUGGAGGAAUACCGGUGGCGAAGGCGGCAUCCUGGACCAUAACUGACGCUGAGGCGCGAAAGCUAGGGGAGCAAACGGG